UUAUAAACUCAAAUUCCAAGUAUCAAAUCGCAGGUCUCAGUGAACAUCAAACCUAUUUACUACAUAGAAUCAAACCUUUGUUUAGGUGAGAUGUACAUCGUUAGUGGAGGAAAAACUGACAACCUAAUUUCAUUUGUUUUCUUCUGAUACUCUUCAGACAUGCCUCUAUUAGAAUAAAGGUAAACUGGAAUUUAAAGACAAGUUCCCCUCAGUUAUUUCCAUGGAGCUGUAAUAUGUAUAUAUGGAGUGAUGGUUUCCUGACCUUUAGUCCACAUACCAAUGUUUUCUUUUUUCUUUUUUUUUUUUUUUUUUGAGAUGGUGUCUCACUCUGUUGCCAGGCUGGAGUGCAGUGGCACGAUCUCGGCUCACUACAGUCUCCACCUCCUGGGUUCAAGUCAUUCCUCUGCCUCAGCCUCCCGAGUAGCUGGGACUACAGGCACGCACCACCACGCCUGGCUAAUUUUUUUGUAUUUUUAGUAGAGACGGGGUUUCACCGUGUUAGCCAGGAUGGUCUCAAUCUCCUGACCUUGUGAUCUGCCCACUUCACCUCCCAAAGUGCUGGGAUUACAGGCCAAUGUUUUCUUAAUCUUAGAAUGUGAAUAACUGAAAAUCAUAGUCUGUGGAAAGGUGUUGAAUUGAGUAUAAUCUUCUUCUGUUUAUUUUUGUGUUUUGUUUUUUAACAGAUGGGUAUCUUGCUAUGUUGCCCAGGAUGGAGUGCAGUAGCUAUUCACAGGUAUGAUCAUAGCACACUGCAGCCUCAAGCUCCUGGGCUCAAGCGAUCCCCCUCCCUCAGCCUCCCAAGUAUCUGGGGUUACUGGUGUGCACCACCGUGCUUGGCUCCAAUAAUUUUUUUUCUAAUUCAAAAGUUACAGUUUCACUGUGAAAAAGGCCUUGAACACACUAUUUAUGACAUCUUUUGAGGCAGCUCCAGUGCCUUGACUUCAAUCCCAGUUUCCGGUUGCAGCAUCCUUGUUGUCUUAGCAACACAGUGAACUAUUCUGAAGCAUAGAGUAACACGAAACUGGGAGUCCGAGAAAUAAUCAUCUCUGCAUCACAUUAUGGGAGACGAAGUCUGCUUUAUCCAUUUUAUCUUUAUUCAGUUGUCUAUGAUUAAUUGAUUACAGAGUAGUAGAUUAGAAUAGUGCAUGGAUAUACAUUUGUGUUGAAAAAAGGGGAAGUUGAUAUAUAUCAAUCUUAGUUUUCAUUUAUCAGUUUGAUAUUCAUGCAUUUACACUAAACGCUUCCAUUUAUCCCGAAAAAGUAUAUGCAACUGUAUUCUGUAGGUUGAUUUUUGGAAAAGGGGAGAAGCACACUGAAUUCAUAAGGUCACAUGUAGUCUUAAGGUCUUACUUGCUUACAGCCAAUUAAAUUUGAAGCACCUUAUUUAUACUUGUUAAAGGUAAAACCCAAAAGAACAAGCAGAGGACAUUUUAAGGUCAUAAAAGGUAAAUAAGCUUACCUUCUUAAUGUUUUCAUUCUCUUUUUGUAUAAAUCAGAAAAUGAUCUAAACUGCUGUAACAAAGAGACCCCAAAAUAUGAUGGCUCAUGUAAGAUAAUUUAUUUUUUUCUCACAUAGCAAUCCAGAAGUGGCUUCAUUUCACAAGGUAUUCAAGGGAUAUAGGAGUCAUCUACCUUGUUAGUUCUCUUAAUACCCAAGGGUAUUGUUCUUUCCAUGGUCAAAGCUGGCUCAAGACUUCCUAGCCUGUGAAAAAAGAAGAAGGUGGAGCAAGCCAUUUCCUUUUUAGGAAAUUACAGCCAUCACUUCUGCCCACCGUCCAUUCAUGAAUACUUACUAUAUAGCUAUACCUAGCUUCAAGAAAGCCUGGGACGUGUCUCUAACUAGAUGGACAUGUGCCCUACUAAAACUCCAGGGAAAGGGUUCUAUUACUAAAGCUAAAAAGAGGGGAAUGAAUACUAGAGUUAAAGACAAAAAUGAUAGCAGCCAAUGGCCCAUGCCGUGAUAAUCUGCUGAGCAGGCAUGAUGGAGAUCCCUUGCCCAGCAGAAAGUGUUCCUUGGUGAAAUCAUGAAUCUGCUAUCUAGGAGAAACUCCCUUGUCCAUUGUCUUCUGUGGCCACUAGUUUGACCUCUAGGAAAGUCUUGCUCGUCAGCUUCUGUGGCCCCGUCUGAAACUUUUGAGGGACAUCGCAGCUUUUGCAGCCCCUGCUUGCUGGUGCAGACUUUUAGACCUAGAUUGCCUUAGAGACUGAAAAAUAUACGCUUUUAUAGGCCGGGGUUUUAGUUCAUUUGACUGUAAUAAAGACGUCAAUGCCGUUUUUAAUGUUUGACUGCUGACAUCUUUCAAGACUCACCUUUCCCUUCUCCCUUAUGCUGCACAUCUGGGCAAGCUGAUGGAAGCAUGGGUGCCUCCUCCUUUGGCCCCAGCAGGAAGUUCAAAUCACGCAAGCCCUGGCAUGCAUGCAGGAAGCUUCACCCCAGCCUCACACUCUAAGACGGAUAAAAGCCAAACCAAUUAAGCCGUUUCUCGACCCUCCUGGGAGCCUGCCCUAUCUCCCUGGAAAGUCUCAGUAUGUGAGUAAUAAACCUUUUUAUACCCAUU
rnacentral:lncRNA from 1 species